GACAAACGCUGGCGGCGUGCUUAACACAUGCAAGUCGAACGGAAAGGCCCUGCUUUUGUGGGGUGCUCGAGUGGCGAACGGGUGAGUAACACGUGAGUAACCUGCCCUUGACUUUGGGAUAACUUCAGGAAACUGGGGCUAAUACCGGAUAGGAGCUCCUGCUGCAUGGUGGGGGUUGGAAAGUUUCGGCGGUUGGGGAUGGACCCGCGGCUUAUCAGCUUGUUGGUGGGGUAGUGGCUUACCAAGGCUUUGACGGGUAGCCGGCCUGAGAGGGUGACCGGCCACAUUGGGACUGAGAUACGGCCCAGACUCCUACGGGAGGCAGCAGUGGGGAAUAUUGCACAAUGGGCGGAAGCCUGAUGCAGCAACGCCGCGUGCGGGAUGACGGCCUUCGGGUUGUAAACCGCUUUCGCCUGUGACGAAGCGUGAGUGACGGUAAUGGGUAAAGAAGCACCGGCUAACUACGUG
rnacentral:rRNA from 1 species